rnacentral:snoRNA from 1 species
AUAAAUGAUGAACAACGGGUCUACUGAUGCCCGCCCGACGGGGCAGGCGUGUGAGGAGCCGUUGGAGCACUGACU